CUCGUGUAUAAAGUCUAAGCCCUACGUCAAGUUACCAUGUUUACAACUUGCACGCUUAAACAAUCCAAUUUAUGAUGGGAUCAAUCUGACCUACCCUAAUGGCCAAAUCUGGCCUAUUCCAGCAAAGAGUAAACAUUAUUUUAUUUUAUUUUUUGAUAAAUAAACUUAAAAAAAUUACUAACUCAAGAUUGAACAAUUGUCAAUCAUCAGUAAUGUCUUGUUCCAAAGCUUCUUCAAGUUACAGAUAGAUAUGCUGCAACUACUAAGACACUUCUUCCUA
rnacentral:lncRNA from 1 species